UGUUCUUUAUUAAUCAAUGAUUGGAUUAUAGUAAUCUAAUUGAUUGUCUCUAUAGUAGAGAUGAUAUGGUAGUAUUAACUGUUUAUAAUACAACGAUGCUUAAAACCCAAAAGGUUGCAAGGUAGUGACUAAUCCCAACUAAAGUUGUGAUACCUCUAAAAACAUAAAUUACAAGUUAGUCAUAGAUGGAUACUUAGGAUCGUUAGAUCCGGAUCCAAUGCCUUCUUGUUAAAAUUGUAUAGAGGCAAAAUGUUUGAAUCUUCAUUCUUUUGGAAAGAAUAAAGAAUCACAAAGUUGUUGAGGUUAAUUCACUUAGAUGUUAGUGGCACUUGUCCACAACAUAAUACUACUCAUGUUGUAUGACAUUCACCAAAGAUCACUCUCGGUUGGACUAUAGUUUAUUUUGAAUAUAACACAAGUCCGAAUACUUUGCAAAAGGUUUCAAAGAAUUCAAGAAAUGUAAGUUGAUGAGUAAGACGUCUAAAGUAUUUACAUCCUUAGAUUUGAUCCAAGGAAUGGUAACACUUUAGAAUAGUUUUCUUGAAAGAUAUCAAGGAAAAUAGCAUCAUAAGAUAAUGAAUUUCUCCUUUAGGAGAAGAACGAACU
rnacentral:lncRNA from 1 species